rnacentral:lncRNA from 1 species
UUUGAUGGAUUUUGGGAUUAAAGGUUCUUGAGGAGGUGUUUUGAAUUUUUCGAAAAGGGCACUACGAGAAGCAAUGGCUGAAGACUUGGGAGCAAGCCUUGCGGAAUCAGGAGUAACAGAUCUCGGGUAGAGUUUUCUAACUACUGGGGGAGGAGUUGAGAGGUUUUUUGCGUUCUGGUUCUCAAAUGUUGCUGCGAGUGCAUUGAACGCUGGCGAUCUUCCCCUCACGUGAACCCUGUCUGGACUUAAAGACAUGGUUCUUGACCGCUGCUGUGAGUUUUCAGGAACACUGGCACGAGUUGAACAGCCAUCUUGAAUUUGUUUUGUUUCCAUUUAGGCAGCUUGUAGAAAGCUUCUUUCGUCAUACCAAACUUCUCUUUGAACUCCUCUGAUGAAAGGUAAGCCUAUAUAUAACAGAGACCAACAACUGUAAACAUCCUCUUUCCAUUUACAAAAUGAAAAAAAUUGAUUGUUGGUUUGAACUUACCUCUCUCCUUGUUACAUCAAUGUCUGUCACAGGAUCAGGUGAAGUUGUCUUGAGACGUUCGUAUGGGUAAGCUGGCAAAUCUUCUUCGUCUUCCACACCUUCUUUAGCAUCUUCUUGAAUCGUCAGAGAUACUAUCUUGCUGCUCAUCGAUUUCUCCCCCUCCUUGUCAUUUUCCUUUUUCUCUUCCUUUCCUUUUGAGCUGGAUUCUGGCGCUGGAGACUCAGGUGUCUUAGGGCUCGCUUCAUGUCCAACAAAGCUCAAAAGGUCAACACUCAAAAGUGAAAAAAAUGAGAACAAAGAUGAUAUAGAUUGACACUUUCAGGUAUUACCUUUGAUGGAUUUUGGGAUUAAAGGUUCCUGAGGAGGUGUUUUAAAUUGUUUGAAAAGGGCACUAUGAGAAGCAAUGGCUGAAGACUUGGGAGCAAGCCUUGCGGAAUCAGGAGUAACAGAUCUCGGGUAGAGUUUUCUAACUACUGGGGGAGGAGUUGAGAGGUUUCUUGCGUUCUGGUUCUCAAAUGUUGCUGCGAGUGCAUUGAACGCUGGAGAUCUUCCCCUCACGCGAACCCUGUCUGGACUUAAAGACAUGGUUCUUGACCGCUGCUGUGACUUUUCAGGAACACUGGCACGGCCACCAUAUG